rnacentral:rRNA from 1 species
UACGAAGGGGGCUAGCGUUGUUCGGAAUUACUGGGUGUAAAGCGCACGUAGGCGGGUUGUUAAGUCAGGGGUGAAAUCCUGGAGCUCAACUCCAGAACUGCCUUUGAUACUGGCAACCUAGAGACUGGAAGAGGUUAGUGGAAUUCCCAGUGUAGAGGUGAAAUUCGUAGAUAUUGGGAAGAACACCAGUGGCGAAGGCGGCUAACUGGUCCAGCACUGACGCUGAGGUGCGAAAGCGUGGGGAGCAAACAGG